rnacentral:rRNA from 1 species
GACGAACGCUGGCGGCGUGCCUAAUACAUGCCAGUUGAGCGCUGAAGGUUGGUACUUGUACCAACUGGAUGAGCAGCGAACGGGUGAGUAACGCGUGGGGAAUCUGCCUUUGAGCGGGGGACAACAUUUGGAAACGAAUGCUAAUACCGCAUAAAAACUUUAAACACAAGUUUUAAGUUUGAAAGAUGCAAUUGCAUCACUCAAAGAUGAUCCCGCGUUGUAUUAGCUAGGUGGUGAGGUAAAGGCUCACCAAGGCGAUGAUACAUAGCCGACCUGAGAGGGUGAUCGGCCACAUUGGGACUGAGACACGGCCCAAACUCCUACGGGAGGCAGCAGUAGGGAAUCUUCGGCAAUGGACGAAAGUCUGACCGAGCAACGCCGCGUGAGUGAAGAAGGUUUUCGGAUCGUAAAACUCUGUUGGUAGAGAAGAACGUUGGUGAGAGUGGAAAGCUCAUCAAGUGACGGUAACUACCCAGAAAGGGACGGCUAACUACGUG